GGUUAUUUAUAUGUGCCAUAAUAUAUUACAAAGAAAAUAUUAUUUAUUAUGAUAUUAAUGGAGAAAGACCACAAAAGAAUAUGGGAAAUAUCAAUGUACACAUGUUUUUUUCAACCUUACUAAUUAUUUGUUUUUUUGUGCUUUUUUCUGUUGAACACAAAGUCAAAAUAUGUGACUUCUUUCAUCUUCUCCCGUAGGUUCACAACUUUUCUCUGCCAAUAUCCACCUUCAGAUCAGUGAAAAAAAAUAUGCCUAAAAUUUGCUUCCGGGAUUAUCAGCUGAUGAACCCAUUGAAAAACAUGUUCCACCCAAUUACGAUAUACAUAAAAGUGAAAAACAAAGGAGCAGAGCUGCCUCUUCUAAAAAAAAUCAGAACAGACAACAGAGUAAGCCCAUGUUUCCAUAUUCAGCCGUAUACAAAUCAUGUUCUUUUGAAACGACAUACAAUCUCAUCUAUGAAGUAAAAAUUCUACCAAAACCUUUACCUCAUCUCAUCGAAAAUAAGGAAGAUCUGAAACCUCCGAGCUAAGAAUUGCAUAUUCUCCACUGAUUGAGAUCCAAAAAAAAACCUCCAAUCUUGGUCGCUAUAACAUGUGAUUCUUUCCUCCAUUUAAUACAGACUAAUAUGACUGAAAAAUCAUAGAGAAACCCAGUAACCCUUUGAAUCUUCAUCGUUGUUAGGUUUGAGAUAGUUUCACAUCUUAAUCGUCGCAGAGCCGGAUAUUCAAAUAUUUUAAAGAUCCUUCACAUAUAUUAUUUAAGAAUUGUUCACAUAAGUUUCUCGUUU
rnacentral:lncRNA from 1 species